rnacentral:rRNA from 1 species
AACGAACGCUGGCGGCGUGCCUAACACAUGCAAGUCGAACGAGACCUUCGGGUCUAGUGGCGCUCGGGUGCGUAACGCGUGGGAACCUGCCAUUAGGUUCGGAAUCACUCCCCUUAUUGGGUGUUAAUACCGGAUAAUGUCUUCGGUACAAAGUUUUGUCGCUUUUGGGUAGGCGGGCGGUGGAUUAGCCUGUUGGUAGGGUAAAAGCCGACCACGGCGACGAUCCUUAGGUGGUCUGAGAGGAUGAUCAGACACACUGGGACUGAGACACGGCCCAGACUCCUACGGGAAGCUGCAGUAGGGAAUAUUGGCCGAUGCGGCAAAGCCUGGUCCAGCAAUGCCGCGUGAGUGAUGAAGGCCUUAGGGUUGUAAAGCUCUUUUUCCCGGUAUGAGAAUGACAGUAACGGGAGGAUAAGCUCCGGCUAACUACGUG